GUGGAAUGGGUGAAUCUACCUUUUAUUGCUCAGCUUUGGAAAUUUCACAAGGCAUCUAGAGAGUAGAGAACAUGCACUUGAAUUUUGUUUUGCUAAAUCGUUUUAGACAUACUGCUCGCAUGGAACAGAGGACGUGAAGAAUAUGCAAGAAACAGAGAACAUGAAGAGGAAGAAAAUUAGAACGUAGCAUAUGCUGUUGUUCUUCUUCUCUAAGGCAUUUUCAUAUGGUGAAUUGUUUGUUGUUCUACUUCUAGCGGGAAACGGUAUUUAUAUUAACCGAUAAUACUUAUGGUAACUCUCCUUCAUUACAGGAGCAUCAAGGAAGGAUCUUAGUUACUUUCAAGAUCAUCAGAUUUUGUGAUUCUAAUUACUUCUAUAUCUGAUUUAGACAUAAGAAAAUAUGCCUAUUUUUCCUGCAGCUAAUCAAUAUCUUGAAAGUUGGAAAACUAUAGAGCUGCAAAAAAUUGUUUGUUGCUUUAAUUUAUCUGUAACCUGUUUACAAACUAUAGAGCUCUCUAAUCAGUUUUGAGUUUAACGUUUUAAGGUUUGACAAGAAUCAAAACAGAAUGAGUACAGCUCUCUAUGUACAUCUUCAUAUUUUUUCU